UACGAAGGGGGCGAGCGUUGUUCGGAUUUACUGGGCGUAAAGCGCACGUAGGCGGUUUUGUAAGUCAGGGGUGAAAUCCCGGGGCUCAACCUCGGAACUGCCUUUGAUACUGCAAAUCUCGAGUCCGAUAGAGGUGGGUGGAAUUCCUAGUGUAGAGGUGAAAUUCGUAGAUAUUAGGAAGAACACCGGUGGCGAAGGCGGCCCACUGGAUCGGUACUGACGCUGAGGUGCGAAAGCGUGGGGAGCAAACAGG
rnacentral:rRNA from 1 species